GUCUUUUUGUAAGUAUAAAAAGUCCGGUCUGCCCACUGAUGAAAAUAUUAAAGGGCCGCAGUAUUUUAACUGUGCAAAGGUAGCAUAAUCACUAGUUCUUUAAUUGAGAUCUUGAAUGAAUGAUUAGACAAAAAAAUUACUGUCUUUAUAAUAAUAAUUGAAUUUAACUUUUAAGUGAAAAGGCUUAAAUAAUUUGAAGUGACGAUAAGACCCUAUAAAGCUUAAUAUUAUUAUAAAAUUUUUGGUAAGUUAAAUAUAAAGUUUUAAGGUUUAUUAAUAUUUUAUUGGGGCGAUAGAAGUAAAAGGUUUAAUAACUGCUUUUUUUUUAAUCAGGUAUAAAUGGUUAAUAUAUAAAUGAUCUUAUUUUAUAGAGUAAAAGAUUAAGUUACUUUAGGGAUAACAGCGUUAUUUUUCUUGAGAGUUCUUAUCGAAAGAAAAGAUUGCGACCUCGAUGUUGAAUUAAAAUAUCUAUAUAAUUGUAGUAGUUAUAUGAGAAGGUCUGUUCGACCUUUAAAUUUUUACGUGAUUUGAGUUCAGACCGGUUUAAACCAGGUCGGUUUCUAUCUUUUAAUUAGAUUGUAAUUAUUUUA
rnacentral:rRNA from 1 species